UACGGAGGGAGCUAGCGUUGUUCGGAAUUACUGGGCGUAAAGCGCACGUAGGCGGCUUUGUAAGUUAGAGGUGAAAGCCCGGGGCUCAACCCCGGAAUUGCCUUUAAGACUGCAUCGCUUGAAUCCAGGAGAGGUGAGUGGAAUUCCGAGUGUAGAGGUGAAAUUCGUAGAUAUUCGGAAGAACACCAGUGGCGAAGGCGGCUCACUGGACUGGUAUUGAC
rnacentral:rRNA from 1 species